AUGAAAAGUAUUAUGAUUGAUGAGGAAUCUACACAGGUGAGCCACAGCGAAUCUUGGCUGGACAAACUUGGAAUCAAUAAGAACAAGUUGGCAUUUCUAAAAUGUCUGAUUUGGUGGAAAGAAAGUACCACAACCAUAGAAAAAGAUCAUCAAACUGCUUCUGGAGUUCGUUCUCAUGAUGCCCAUGGACUGACUGAAUUGGAUGGAUGCAUGACAAAAGAUGAGCAGGCAUAUAUUCCAUAUAAAUUAGCUAAACUAUAUAUUACAAAGAUUGUAAAAGACAUGCAGCAAAUGAAAAUCAGACACAUGAAUAUAAUCAAUGAGUUGGACUGCAUAAGAAAAGAAAAGCAGGAACAGGCUGUAAUUGUUCUGAAGAAUCAUUACAACGGCAAAAUAAAGACCCUGAGAGCCCAGUUGGAAGCCUACCAGGAGCUUGUAGACAAGAGGAAUGGGGACUGGCAAGAUAUGAUUAAGCAUGCUUUCCAAGUAUGUCUGGGGCUGAUAUCAGUGACUAGCAGCAUGCUCUUUAGCAGGGACUGGCAACCUAUUCAAGCUGUGGCCCAGAACAACCCAGCUCCACUCCAGUGUAGACUGGGUUUCUUUGCUGGUGCAUCAGCAGCAAGGGAGGUUUGCCUGCACCCAUGCUGAGACCACUAGACCGGACAUCUGGGAGCUUCCCUGCCAUCACCACCACUUCCCCAGCACCCUGCUCCCCAGUUGGGGUACAAGAGGCAGCUUCCAGGCAGAAGCCUUCUGUACUGGGGCAGAGCAGUUGGGAACUUAAUUGGCACUGUUGUUGCUGCUUCUCUCCAGCCUCCUGAUCUCUGGCUGCUACACAGGCACAGCUUCCAGCCACUGGGGAGCUAGGCCAGGGCUGGAUGGCUGGAGGCUGCUUCUGCACAGGUGCCACUUCACCCCACACCUCCUCCCACCCUCCCAGCUGCAAUCCAGGUGCAGCUAGGGGCUGCCCAGACCCAUCUCAGUUCACACUAGCUGGAAGUUACAUCCAUGUUGCAGGUAAGAAGCUGGGGGUCGGGGGGGGAGGGGGGUAAGAAGCAGCAGCAAUGUAGGUGAACCUUCUGCAUGC
rnacentral:lncRNA from 1 species